rnacentral:rRNA from 1 species
UACGUAGGGCGCAAGCGUUGUCCGAAGUUACUGGGCGUAAAGCGCGCGUAGGCGGGUUGGUAAGUCCGCUGUGAAAGCCCGGAGCUUAACUCCGGAGGGUCGGUGGAUACUGCCAGUCUUGAAGGUGCUAGGGGGAGAUGGAAUUACCGGUGUAGCGGUGAAAUGCGUAGAUAUCGGUAGGAACACCAGUGGCGAAGGCGGUCUCCUGGGGCAUUCUUGACGCUGAGGCGCGAAAGCUGGGGGGAGCAAACGGG